GGGGGACAUGACCCCGAAGCAUCCUGGAGAAGAUCAGCAGGGAACAACCCUUGGGUGACCCUUUGGAGACGCGCCCCAGCUCGUGUCUGCGCAAGGAGCAGGCGGCAGCUCCAAGGCAAACACCGGGAGCUGUUCUUCUCGCAGCUCACGGCUGAACUAUGCAUCUCCUUCCCGUGGCCUCCAGAGCUCCCCGGGUGUCAAAGUCGUUCAAGGAAAAUCCGCCCACAGCCAUUUCAAACAAACACGGAGGAAAAACACUGCCCACCUCUCUCCUUCAGGAAGCCCUUGAGAUACCGCAGGAGAACAGGACGAAUCCCCGCGGGAUCUGGAGAAGCUGUGCAUCAGGAGCAGGACCACAACAAGAUUUUAUGUUCCCAUCACUGUGCUAGGGCCAUGCCUGGAGGCAUCUGGGAGGAAAAACAAAUCUGUAUGCUCUGGGCUCCUACUCUGGGAAGAAAGAAGGUGUUUACAGCCCAUCCAAACACACUGAAGAUCAGAGCUUUAACUCCUUACCCAUUUUCCUGUGCUCUCCUGGUGAGAUGCCAGCAUUCCCUCAUGCCUUUCAGUAAAGAAAUUCCAUUUAUACACCCUGAUAGUAGUUUUCCAUGUUUUUCUUCUCCACAACAGGAAAAACACCAGGAGCUAGAACUGUUUAAAGAUUUACCAGAGUGCGUGGGAAUAGCAAAUACUUCAAGAAAAUGAUGUCAGAAAUGCCUGAGCUGGGUGAAGAUGUGAUGGGGUGAAAUUCUCCAGCCUAUGUUAGGGAAAAGGUCAGGAGAGAGGAUUAUCAGCAUUAAAUUAUUUGUGAUGAGAGUCAGGACAACAGUCUGCUUGUGAGAGUGAAUUCACCCCCUAGUUAUGGUUCAGCUCCUGCAAAUGCAGCUUCAGGAGAGCCCAGUAAAUAUAAAUCCCUUUAAUCCCUUGGAAAAUGUAAAAUUUGCCCUGAUAAAAACAUCUCAUAGGUGGUGUCACUUCUCCACAUACUUUCAGUUCUAAAAAGUGACUUUUUUUCAUUCCAAACAUUAUAUUCCAUGUUAUUAUCCUUCUAUUUUAUUACAAAUAGAUUCCAAACCUCCACUCCAGUGUGUUGCUACAUGAUCAGGUGACACUCCAUCGAAUUUGGGAUCCUCUCCCCCCAUUUUUGGAGCUGUGAAUGAGCCACAAGCCUCUCCUCUGCCCUUCAUGGGUGAGGCAAGACUACUCAGCAGCCAGGAAAGCAAACAGAUGGAAACUAGAUAAUUGAACUGUGGCUUGAAAAUUGACAUUUAGUUGAACUAAGAGAGAAAAAAAACCAAAAAACCAAACACGACAGCAACAACAACAAAACCCCACAACAUCCCAGAACCUUAGAAGGAUCACAGGGUACCCUUAAACCUCAGAAACCAAGUACAGGUGGAUGCUGACACACAGAGGUGUGAGGAAAGGAUAAGAAAAUCCAGGCUGAGUGCUAUUGAAGUGCUCUGGCCAGAGCCCCUCGUGUGCAAUUCACCCAUGGAAAUUGCUCCUGCAUCCACCCUUGAUCCUUCUGUUUCUCUGCAAGCCCUGCAGACCUGCUCUGUGUGCUAAGGGCUGAAUUCCUGUUUUUUCCAGUGGAUAGGAAGCACUAAAUGUCCCUGUGAGCUUGUCCUGCCUUUCCACCCGGAAUGCGGCAGGGAGGUGAACCCAGGGAGACCUUGGGCACAAUCCUGGGGAGUCCCAAAAGGCAGGGAAGGCUUCUGCCUUCUUCUCAUCCUUCUGCACCUCCCUCCAUCCCUCCGUCCUCCUCGGCCUGCCCUGCUCCGAUGAAUUAUUCAGGCACGCAGCAGUUGCUAUAGGGCGCUGUCAUGAAUAACAACAGCGGCUAUUUUUAUCCCGAACUCCUGUUACCUUGCGGCCAGGAGCGGUGGGGCCCUGCCAGGUCCUGGCAGGAGGAAAACCACAGCCAUCCACAACAUCUCCGUGGGCUGGGAUUCGUCCUGACCACCCAAAUGUGGGUGACUUCUUGUGCGAUCCGCAUAGAUGUACCUGAAUCCCACCCUGGUACCCGCUCUGUUUUGGACUCACAGGGUGCUUUGCACCCAUAUUUUACCUUUUUCCACCCAUAUUUUGUCUGCAGUGGAGCACACAGACUGUCCAUUGAUGGAUUUAAUAUUCUGCCUGCUGCAGAGGGAGAAAAAGCAUCUCAGAGGUGAAAUCUCCUAUCGAGUUCUGGCAAUUUAUAUGGGAUAAAUCAUAUUUCUUUUGGGGACUUGCACAGAUUCCUCCAGCCAGUUUAGAUCCUCAAUGUGACCACUUUAAAAAAAAANNNNNNNNNNNNNNNNNNNNNNNNNNNNNNNNNNNNNNNNNNNNNNNNNNNNNNNNNNNNNNNNNNNNNNNNNNNNNNNNNNNNNNNNNNNNNNNNNNNNNNNNNNNNNNNNNNNGAAAUAGAAAUAGAAAUAGAAAUAGAAAUAGAAAUAGAAAUAGAAAUAGAAAUAGAAAUAGAAAUAGAAAUAGAAAUAGAAAUAGAAAUAGAAAUGCCAGGAAACAGAAAGUUGCCAGAAACAGAAGUGACAGUGCCAAAGGUUUUCUCUGUUCAUUCUUUGUGCUUUCUCCACUCAUGAAAACAAGAAAUGUCCAUCAAAUCAGAGGGAAGGGGUGGAUUUGAGGAGCAGAUGGAGGGAAAUGGGUCCUGCUGAGUGUGCAGAAGCAGGGAGGGUAUUCCAGCUCAGGGAACAUCUCUGGAGCUAGCAGGGAAACCUGGAAGAGUAAAGGGAAAAAUAAAAAUAAAAUUAAAAAAAAAAAAGAAAAAUGA
ensembl:lncRNA